GCAUAUCAAUAAGCGGAGGAAAAGAAACCAACCGGGAUUGCCUCAGUAACGGCGAGUGAAGCGGCAAGAGCUCAAAUUUGAAAUCUGGCCCCCUCGGGGUCCGAGUUGUAAUUUGCAGAGGAUGCUUCGGGUGCGGCCCCCGUCUAAGUGCCCUGGAACGGGCCGUCAUAGAGGGUGAGAAUCCCGUCUGGGACGGGGUGUCCGCGUCCGUGUGAAGCUCCUUCGACGAGUCGAGUUGUUUGGGAAUGCAGCUCUAAAUGGGUGGUAAAUUUCAUCUAAAGCUAAAUACUGGCCGGAGACCGAUAGCGCACAAGUAGAGUGAUCGAAAGAUGAAAAGCACUUUGAAAAGAGAGUUAAAAAGCACGUGAAAUUGUUGAAAGGGAAGCGCUUGCGACCAGACUCGCCCGCGGGGUUCAGCCGGCAUUCGUGCCGGUGUACUUCCCCGUGGGCGGGCCAGCGUCGGUUUGGGCGGCCGGUCAAAGGCCCCCGGAAUGUAGUGCCCCUACGGGGGCACCUUAUAGCCGGGGGUGCAAUGCGGCCAGCCUGGACCGAGGAACGCGCUUCGGCACGGACGCUGGCAUAAUGGUUGCAAACGACCCGUCUUGAAACACGGACCAAGGAGUCUAACAUCUACGCGAGUGUUCGGGUGUCAAACCCGUGCGCGCAGUGAAAGCGAACGGAGGUGGGAGCCCCCUCGCGGGGCGCACCAUCGACCGAUCCUGAUGUCUUCGGAUGGAUUUGAGUAAGAGCGUAAAUGUGGGGACCCGAAAGAUGGUGAACUAUGCCUGAAUAGGGCGAAGCCAGAGGAAACUCUGGUGGAGGCUCGCAGCGGUUCUGACGUGCAAAUCGAUCGUCAAAUUUGGGUAUAGGGGCGAAAGACUAAUCGAACCAUCUGGUAGCUGGUUCCUGCCGA
rnacentral:rRNA from 1 species